CCGAGGGGACCUUGGACCGACCCAGACACCUCGCCACCCGAGGAUCGGCUCCAGAGCCCGGAGCUCUCGCGAUAGCACGGCCUCCCCACCACGCCUCUGGUUAGUGUUCUGACAGUUUCGCGAGAUUUCCGUCCGCGCCUGCGCAAAGCCUCUUUAGGACUAUUGGAGAGUGGUAAUUUUCCCUGUCCCAAAUCUGGGUCCUUUUCAUGCCUCUCGCACCAAAUGCUCACACAAGCAACAGAACCCUAACUAAGACAGGGCUGAUGGAGAGCUCUGAGAUUAGACAAGAUGGUGGCUGCAGAACAAUCUGAUGUUUUUAUCUCCACUGAGUGACCACUUACAAAUGUGAUCUCCUGUAUGGAAGCAGUAUGGAGUUCCCGAGAACAGUGAAACUUGAAGUACCUUAUCGUCCAGCAAUCCCACUCUGUGACCGUCUGCUCCCCCAGCUUUAUUGUAGCACUGUUCCCAGCUGCCAGGUGAUGAAGAGCCCCUGUCCGGAGUUGAUGAGUACAUAAGGAAAUCUGCAGCCAGCAGCUUUGGGGCUGGGAUGCAGCUCAGUUUGCAGAGUGUUUGUCUAGUGUGUGUGAUGCCCUCAGUUUGACCUCCAGCACUGCAUAUAAACCAGACAUGGUAUAAGGCUAAGAGGUAUCUCUGCCAGUAUAGUGCUUGACUAUAGCCAUAAGGACCCAACAUGAAAAGACUAUUCACAGUGAGACAGGCUUGUACAUCCCUGCUUCUCUAUGUAACCCCUCACCCAUUCUCAUGUCACUAGCCCACUAAACUCUAGCCUGGUUGUCUGUAGUGAAAUUGUUAAUUUGGUUUGCCCUUGACUCCCUAUGUGGGGUGAAUAGUUGUAUGUUCAUAUCUCCCCAGGAAUAGUGUCACACAGCAUCUCCACAUGCAUGCAUAUGUCUCCUCCCAAGACACACACCAUAGGCAUGAUGGUACACAUUUGUGAUCCCAGCACUGAAGAGGUGAAGGCAGGAAGAUAAAUCAUUUCAGCAAGGUAAACCUAUUAAAGCUUCUCAUGGUUCCCCAUUGGCAUGUAUCAUUUUAUGAUUU